ACCGAUGCGCGCGGCGGCACACUGCGCCGAGGAGGAGCUAUGUUGCCCUCCGCUCUCCUCCAAUGUACCGCCCCUACGCCGAAGUCGGAAGAGACGUCGGAGCCAUCGUCCCUGCGCCACGCAAUGUUUGGGAUGGCCUCCUACCGGUGCACGCUGCUGCUCGAGCUCCCCCUACCCCGCCUCUUGCUGUGCGCCCCCGUGUGCGCCUUCCUCGACGUGCUAUGACCUCUCGUCGGGCCUCGCUCUCUGCGUCUCCGCCGAUGCAUCUCACUUCCCCCACUAAAGAUAGUGGAGAUGUUCAGGUGGACCUCCUCGCCCUCCCGUUGAUCCCUGAUGUGAAUUAGGAAUGAUGAUACUCUUAAUUGUAAGGCUAUUGGAGAGGUCAAAUUAUCUUCUAAAGUGUAUUUAUAAUAAUUUCUACAUGUCAUUGUUUAAUGACCUGGUUUCCCCCUACAUGUUAGCACGGUGAAGAUAAUCUCUUGAAUAGAUAAUAUGGUAGAUCAAAACAAUUGAUAGGUAGAAUCUUUCUCAUGACCUCUAUGUCUGGAUUAUUCUCGAGUGGACCCAAUAUAAUUUGCCACUCUGUUCCACUGAUCCAAUGUCAGAUCUUUACUAGCUAACAAGCUUGAUCCAGUUUGUAUCAUUAAAUUCUUUUAUAUUCAUGUUAUUUUCCGCUCCUCUACUAAUGAGAAGUAUUUAUCCUUUCAGUAUUGUGACAUCUACAAUAAUCCAUGCAGUGCUUAUUUGAUAUACCAUUUUUAUUACAUUGUUUCAUAACAAUUAUUUUUUACUAUUGUCUUUUUUCACAUGAAUUCUUUUACUGACACCUACUUAUGUGGAUAUGUGAUGUUUGUCCAGCACUAUUGAUUUUUUUGGUCAAUGUGCUCAGUGAGGCUCAGGAUGGGAUUCUAGAUUUGAACAGCACAACUGACACUUUAGGACGCAUCUUGGACCAAACAAUUAAGUAAUUCCUGAUGAAAACUAUACCUUCAACUCGAGCAUCUUGUUGGAAUUUAUUUUGUAUUUGUUUUAACACGCUGACUAGGGUCUUAUGGGAAAAUUUCAAAAUUGCAUGCUACUAAAUUAUAUUGUUUCUACAAGACUGCAUUUCAGUGCAAUUAUGAUAUGACCUCAAAGUUUACAUGUUCUUGUUCUUGCAGGUCAACGCAGUUGGAGAGGAAAUGGGAAUAAGGUUUCUAGGGCUUGGCUUAUGAGCACCGAGUGAUAUACCAAUAAUGGCAAAAAUAACUCUCUCCUUUAACCUUGUAAGCUUAUAUCUUUUUGAACUUUGUUUUAUUCCUGGAAUGUUAACUACUGCUCGCCAGACACCUCAAACCAUUAUGCUUCUUUUGACUUUUAAGCAUAGCAUUCUUGAUAUACUUAAAUUUUUAAAUGAGACUUGUUAGUUACCAAGAUAAUGUGUUGAGCACUUUGGGGUAAAUGACUGAUAACUCAUUGUUCAAAUAUGCGUUAGGCAAUGGUUGUUACUAUUUUGUGUAAGACUUGACAGAAACAAUCAUCGGCUUGUAGGGAAGAUACAAAAUAAUGAGGAAUUACAUGCCUAAAGUUGGUACUCUUGGCCUUGAUAUGAUGUUCCUGACAUGUACUGUGCAGAUGAUCAUAUUUCUAGGAGUGCCAUUUUCAUAAUGACAUCACUUAUUCAUUUGGAGUACUCAUCUAAGCACUGAGUUGCUAUCUUAAGGUUACCAAUUUCAUGUUCUUUAAAAACAGAUUACCAAUUGCAUGGAAUUACUCUUUGUAGUGCUUGAUAUUAUUGUAUUGUAUGUACUGAACAGUUGGACAACUCUUCAUCAAAUGAAUUAUCGCCUGACAGUUUUUUGUCAUUUAUUCCCCCAUUCUAAAUUAUAAGAUAUUUAAAAUUUUCUAGAUGCAUCGAUUUAUUAUGUAUCAUACAUAGUGUAUUUUUUUCAGACAGUGUAGGUGCAUAGAAAAAGCUAUGUGUUUAUAAAAGCCAAAACUUCUUAUGAUUUAGAAUGGAGGGAUUAUAGUUUAGAAUGGAGGGAGUAUUGAGUACUAUGUUAACACUUUCAGUUUUUUGCUUUAUUAAAUGCCUUCCUACAAUGAGUUACGGGUCCACCUCAAAUCGGAAAGAACUAAAGAAGACAUGCCACAUUUUCUCAUGCAGAUUGUGUUGUAUGAAUCAACCUAGAAUGAGUCUUCCUGAGACUUAGGUAAAACCUGGACAACAUAUCUAUUGUUCUGUUCAAACUCUUGGUCAUUUUUAACUCAUGUUAACAGAAUACAAAUAAAGGUAAAUUUGUUUCAGUUAACCCGAUUUGUAUUAUGAGCUAACCCAAUUUGCUUAACUCGUGUUAACAGAGGCACAUUGUAUUAUGAGCUAACCCGAUUUGUUUUUUAGCUUUCAGCACUUCCAUAUUCUGCUCAUUGUGUAUUUUUUUUGUUUUCUUAAUACCGUUGUACUAUAUGUCACAACCUUUCAUGCAUUGACCAAUAACUUAGCAUUUGGAAUGGGUUUCUCCUUUCUGUAUCAUUAUGUAUUUAUGUGUACUUCCAGGGAGUACCAUUUUCUUCAUGUUGGCGAUGAAAUGCUACAAUCUAAGUCGCUUGAUCGAGAUUCAUAUGUCUUUG
rnacentral:lncRNA from 1 species